AACUUUCAACAACGGAUCUCUUGGUUCUGGCAUCGAUGAAGAACGCAUCGAAAUGCGAUAAGUAGUGUGAAUUGCAGAAUUCAGUGAAUCAUCGAAUCUUUGAACGCACAUUGCGCCCCUCGGUAUCCCGGGGGGCAUGCCUGUUCGAGCGUCAUUUCUACCUCUCAAGUCUAACUUGGUAUUGGGCAUCGUUAUGAAAAUUAACGUGCUUUAAAUGUAGACGGCAACAAUUCCCCAGCUUGAAGCGUAGCAGUAAAACAUUUUCGCUUUAAAAGCUGCUGGGUCUUGUUUACCGCAUAGUUUUUACUACAGUUUGACCUCGGAUCAGGCAGGGAUACCCGCUGAACUUAAGCAUAUCAAUAAGCGGAGGCU
rnacentral:misc_RNA from 1 species